UACGUAGGGACCAAGCGUUGUUCGGAUUUACUGGGCGUAAAGGGCGCGUAGGCGGCCACCGCAAGUCGACUGUGAAAUCUCCGGGCUUAACCCGGAAAGGUCAGCCGAUACUGCGGGGCUAGAGUGCAGAAGGGGCAACUGGAAUUCUUGGUGUAGCGGUGAAAUGCGUAGAUAUCAAGAGGAACACCUGCGGCGAAGGCGGGUUGCUGGGCUGACACUGACGCUGAGGCGCGAAAGCUAGGGGAGCGAACGGG
rnacentral:rRNA from 1 species